UAGGGAAUCUUCCACAAUGGACGCAAGUCUGAUGGAGCAACGCCGCGUGAGUGAAGAAGGUUUUCGGACCGUAAAGCUCUGUUGUUGGUGAAGAAGGAUAGAGGUAGUAACUGGCCUUUAUUUGACGGUAAUCAACCAGAAAGUCACGGCUAACUACGUGCCAGCAGCCGCGGUAAUACGUAGGUGGCAAGCGUUGUCCGGAUUUAUUGGGCGUAAAGCGAGCGCAGGCGGAAGAAUAAGUCUGAUGUGAAAGCCCUCGGCUUAACCGAGGAAUUGCAUCGGAAACUGUUUUCUUGAGUGCAGAAGAGGAGAGUAGAACUCCAUGUGUAGCGGUGGAAUGCGUAGAUAUAUGGAAGAAUACCAGUGGCGAAGGCGGCUCUCUGGUCUGCAACUGACGCUGAGGCUCGAAAGCAUGGGUAGCGAACAGGAUUAGAUACCCUGGUAGUCCAUGCCGUAAACGAUGAGUGCUAAGUGUUGGGAGGCUUCCGCCUCUCAGUGCUGCAGCUAACGCAUUAAGCACUCCGCCUGGGGGAGU
rnacentral:rRNA from 1 species